AGCACAAGGAAUUGGUGCACGUGCCACACCACGAGUACGGAUACGCCGUCGAGCAGAACAAGGUAGUUCAGCCAAAAUCAACCGUCGUCCACCACGACCCACUGACCGGCCUGCCCUACCAGCAGACCGACUACCACCACGCCCCAGUGCUGACCGGAUCCCGCACCUACGUCCACCACAGCCGCCCUGGUUACGUGGCCGAGCGCACCAAGACCUACGUCCUCUGAACAUGCCCCU